rnacentral:lncRNA from 1 species
AAGGAAAAAGUUAUCGAGGAGUAAUCGCGAAAUUCGGGUUUGUAUUACUAUAAUUCAAGUUAUUCAUUAUUAAAUAUUAAUUUUAAUUUAUUUAAUUUAUGGUAAGCAAAUAUUGAGGUAAGAAACUUUAUUGAAUUGAAUUUAGAAAUUUGAAUUGAAUGAGAAAUAUGUGUUAGUAUUUAAUUAAAUUUUGAUUAGUGAAUGAAAAAGUGAAUUUGAUAUUAAAAGUAAAUUUUGAAAUGAAAGUGAGUUUGAAUUGAGAAUUGGAAACCCUAUUAACUAGUCGGACUGAGUCGGAUAUAAUUGGCAUGCCAUAGGAUUGGAAGAGUUCAGGGAUACUUCGACCUCGAGUCGAUGAGACACUGGGUGUCACUAUUUUACUUCGGAUAGAUUCAAUGAGAUAUUGGGUAUCACUUUACUUCGGCUAGGCCGAUGAGACACUGGGUGUCAACUUUGCUUCGAACUAUCCGAUGAGGUACUGGGUGCCAAUCUGGUGUGUUUGGUUGGAUCCGUAUAUCCGCCAAAGUCCGAGUUUGUUAAUAGGGGUAAUUAAUUGAAAAGAACUGUGAUUGUGGAAUAUAAUUUGAAAAUGUGAAUAGAAAGCAUUAACUAAAUGUUCAUGAGAUAAAUAAUGGCUCAAUGUGAUAGUAUAUGAUAUUAACUAAUGAAAGCCAAAUUGAAUUGUAGAUAUUGAGAAAUGAAAGUUAAAUAUGAAUUAGUUUGGUAAAUUUUUUUUUAAAGUUAAAUGAUUUAAUUUACUUGGUUAUUAUAUUACAAUUUAAAUUAUAGUAAUACUACUGAGUAUGAAAAACUCAGUCCGCGGUUGUUCCUGUGCGUAGGUUAGUAGAAAUUAAGGUUUCGGCUCAGCAUCCAGGGCGAUCCCGACUCCAGUAUAAAAUUUGGUGAUGUAAUCUUUCUUUUGGUAAAGUGGCAUGUACUUAAGUGUUAUAUUGGUCACUUGAAAGUGUCUUAUGUUUUUGGUUGAAAAUGAUACUAAAAUGAUAUUUUGAUACUUGGUGUAAUAAAAUGGAAAUAAAAUUAUCAUG